rnacentral:lncRNA from 1 species
UGGUGACAAUGGUCCGAUUCAGCUGCAGAGAUCUCUCCUUAACAUGUCUCCUACUCUAGUAGUUAUACUCACCAAGCAGUCAUGAUGUUUACAACUUUAUCACACGUGACCUUGCCAUGCCUUUGUUUACCAUUAACGCAUGAUACCUGGUGACGAUCAACGAGGAUGAAGAAAUCAAUAACAGCAUCAUCUAGGUUACUGCUACACGACAUGGACUUAUUGAUUACAUUUCUGUGCGGAAGGAUAAAAAAACUACACCAGACUGGUGGCCAUGACAGAUG